UUGCGGCCAUAUAGCGUUGAAACACCUGUACUCGUACGAUCACCGAAGUUAAGCAAGAGUCAGUAACUAGAUGGGUGACUACUUGGGAUUACCUGGUGCUGCAA